rnacentral:rRNA from 1 species
CAAUAGCGUAUAUUAAAGUUGUUGCAGUUAAAAAGCUCGUAGUUGGAUUUCGGGACGGUCCGGCUGGUCCGCCGCAAGGCGUGUUACUGACCGGGCUGUCCUUCUUUGCAAAGGCUGCAUGUGCUCUUAACUGAGUGUGUGUAGGAUUUGUGACGUUUACUUUGAAAAAAUUAGAGUGUUCAAAGCAGGCCAGCGCUUGAAUACAUAAGCAUGGAAUAAUGGAAUAGGACUUUGGUUCUAUUUUGUUGGUUUGUUGGGACUGAGUAAUGAUUAAGAGGGACAGUUGGGGGCAUUUGUAUUUCGGUGCUAGAGGUGAAAUUCUUAGAUUACCGAAAGACAAACUGCUGCGAAAGCGUCUGCCAAGGAUGUUUUCAUUGA